CAGGAGACCAACCCUGCCAAUGCACUACUCAGGCAAAAUAAUAAUAGGUGUUGCUGAAAAUGAGGUUUAUCCAUAGAUUUCAGUGGCCCUCAGGAGGUGCUAAGCAAAGAGAUGGUGUGGAGUGCAUCAGAGAUAAUAAUAAAUUCUGAUCUCAAAUUUAUAAAUGUAAAUAUUCUAAAGCAGACAUUGUUUCACUCAAGACUGCAAAGGGAAGGCUGAGGGGAGGAGGCAGCUCCUAGGUAAGUGCUGGUUUGAGGCAGCUACUUAUAUCAAUUGUCUUUUGCCUUAAUGUAUA
rnacentral:lncRNA from 1 species